GGGUUGUGAGGUUAAGCGACUAAGCGUACACGGUGGAUGCCCAGGCAGUCAGAGGCGAUGAAGGACGUGCUAAUCUGCGUAAAGCGACGGUAAGGUGAUAUGAACCGCUACAGCCGUCGAUGUCCGAAUGGGGAAACCCGGUGCACUCUGUGCAUCAUUGCAGCAUGAAUACAUAGUGCUGCAAGGCGAACCGGGGGAACUGAAACAUCUAAGUACCCCGAGGAAAAGAAAUCAACCGAGAUUCCCCCAGUAGCGGCGAGCGAACGGGGAGCAGCCCAGAGCCUGAAUCAGCUUGUGUGUUAGUGGAAGCGUCUGGAAAGUCGCAGGGUACAGGGUGAUACUCCCGUACACAAAAGCACACAUGCUGUGAGCUCGAUGAGUAAGGCGGGACACGUGGUAUCCUGUCUGAAUAUGGGGGGACCAUCCUCCAAGGCUAAAUACUCCUGACUGACCGAUAGUGAACCAGUACCGUGAGGGAAAGGCGAAAAGAACCCCGGCGAGGGGAGUGAAACAGAACCUGAAACCGUGUACGUACAAGCAGUGGGAGCCUUCUUUAUGGGGGUGACUGCGUACCUUUUGUAUAAUGGGUCAGCGACUUAUAUUCUGUAGCAAGGUUAACCGUAUAGGGGAGCCGCAGGGAAACCGAGUCUUAACUGGGCGUUAAGUUGCAGGGUAUAGACCCGAAACCCGGUGAUCUAGCCAUGGGCAGGUUGAAGGUUGGGUAACACUAACUGGAGGACCGAACCGACUAAUGUUGAAAAAUUAGCGGAUGACCUGUGGCUGGGGGUGAAAGGCCAAUCAAACCGGGAGAUAGCUGGUUCUCCCCGAAAGCUAUUUAGGUAGCGCCUCGUGAACUCAUCUUCGGGGGUAGAGCACUGUUUCGGCUAGGGGGCCAUCCCGGCUUACCAACCCGAUGCAAACUGCGAAUACCGAAGAAUGUUAUCACGGGAGACACACGGCGGGUGCUAACGUCCGUCGUGAAGAGGGAAACAACCCAGACCGCCAGCUAAGGUCCCAAAGUCAUGGUUAAGUGGGAAACGAUGUGGGAAGGCACAGACAGCCAGGAUGUUGGCUUAGAAGCAGCCAUCAUUUAAAGAAAGCGUAAUAGCUCACUGGUCGAGUCGGCCUGCGCGGAAGAUGUAACGGGGCUAAACCAUGCACCGAAGCUGCGGCAGCGACACUUAUGUGUUGUUGGGUAGGGGAGCGUUCUGUAAGCCGUCGAAGGUGUGCUGUGAGGCAUGCUGGAGGUAUCAGAAGUGCGAAUGCUGACAUAAGUAACGAUAAAGCGGGUGAAAAGCCCGCUCGCCGGAAGACCAAGGGUUCCUGUUCAACGUUAAUCGGAGCAGGGUGAGUCGACCCCUAAGGCGAGGCCGAAAGGCGUAGUCGAUGGGAAACAGGUUAAUAUUCCUGUACUCGGUGUUACUGCGAAGGGGGGACGGAGAAGGCUAUAUC
rnacentral:rRNA from 1 species